rnacentral:rRNA from 1 species
UACGUAGGGUGCGAGCGUUAAUCGGAAUUACUGGGCGUAAAGCGUGCGCAGGCGGUUAUGUAAGUCAGUUGUGAAAUCCCCGGGCUCAACCUGGGAAUUGCAUCUGUGACUGCAUAGCUAGAGUACGGUAGAGGGGGAUGGAAUUCCGCGUGUAGCAGUGAAAUGCGUAGAUAUGCGGAGGAACACCGAUGGCGAAGGCAAUCCCCUGGACCUGUACUGACGCUCAUGCACGAAAGCGUGGGGAGCAAACAGG